rnacentral:rRNA from 2 species
GACGAGUUCUGAUUAUUGAAAGGUGCUUGCAUCUUGAUUUAAUUUUGAACGAGUGGCGGACGGGUGAGUAACACGUGGGUAACCUGCCCUUAAGUGGGGGAUAACAUUUGGAAACAGAUGCUAAUACCGCAUAAAUCCAAGAACCGCAUGGUUCUUGGCUGAAAGAUGGCGUAAGCUAUCGCUUUUGGAUGGACCCGCGGCGUAUUAGCUAGUUGGUGAGGUAACGGCUCACCAAGGCAAUGAUACGUAGCCGAACUGAGAGGUUGAUCGGCCACAUUGGGACUGAGACACGGCCCAAACUCCUACGGGAGGCAGCAGUAGGGAAUCUUCCACAAUGGACGCAAGUCUGAUGGAGCAACGCCGCGUGAGUGAAGAAGGCUUUCGGGUCGUAAAACUCUGUUGUUGGAGAAGAAUGGUCGGCAGAGUAACUGUUGUCGGCGUGACGGUAUCCAACCAGAAAGCCACGGCUAACUACGUGCCAGCAGCCGCGGUAAUACGUAGGUGGCAAGCGUUAUCCGGAUUUAUUGGGCGUAAAGCGAGCGCAGGCGGUUUUUUAAGUCUGAUGUGAAAGCCCUCGGCUUAACCGAGGAAGUGCAUCGGAAACUGGGAAACUUGAGUGCAGAAGAGGACAGUGGAACUCCAUGUGUAGCGGUGAAAUGCGUAGAUAUAUGGAAGAACACCAGUGGCGAAGGCGGCUGUCUGGUCUGUAACUGACGCUGAGGCUCGAAAGCAUGGGUAGCGAACAGGAUUAGAUACCCUGGUAGUCCAUGCCGUAAACGAUGAAUGCUAGGUGUUGGAGGGUUUCCGCCCUUCAGUGCCGCAGCUAACGCAUUAAGCAUUCCGCCUGGGGAGUACGACCGCAAGGUUGAAACUCAAAGGAAUUGACGGGGGCCCGCACAAGCGGUGGAGCAUGUGGUUUAAUUCGAAGCAACGCGAAGAACCUUACCAGGUCUUGACAUCUUUUGAUCACCUGAGAGAUCAGGUUUCCCCUUCGGGGGCAAAAUGACAGGUGGUGCAUGGUUGUCGUCAGCUCGUGUCGUGAGAUGUUGGGUUAAGUCCCGCAACGAGCGCAACCCUUAUGACUAGUUGCCAGCAUUUAGUUGGGCACUCUAGUAAGACUGCCGGUGACAAACCGGAGGAAGGUGGGGAUGACGUCAAAUCAUCAUGCCCCUUAUGACCUGGGCUACACACGUGCUACAAUGGAUGGUACAACGAGUUGCGAGACCGCGAGGUCAAGCUAAUCUCUUAAAGCCAUUCUCAGUUCGGACUGUAGGCUGCAACUCGCCUACACGAAGUCGGAAUCGCUAGUAAUCGCGGAUCAGCACGCCGCGGUGAAUACGUUCCCGGGCCUUGUACACACCGCCCGUCACACCAUGAGAGUUUGUAACACCCGAAGCCGGUGGCGUAACCCUUUUAGGGAGCGAGCCGUCUAAGGUGGGACAAAUGAUUAGGGUGAAGUCG